rnacentral:rRNA from 1 species
UACGUAGGGUGCAAGCGUUGUCCGGAAUUAUUGGGCGUAAAGAGCUCGUAGGCGGUUUGUCGCGUCUGCUGUGAAAACUUGGGGCUUAACCCCGGGCCUGCAGUGGGUACGGGCAGACUAGAGUGCGGUAGGGGAGACUGGAAUUCCUGGUGUAGCGGUGAAAUGCGCAGAUAUCAGGAGGAACACCGGUGGCGAAGGCAGCUCGCUGGGACGGUACUGACGCUAAGGCGCGAAAGCGUGGGGAGCGAACAGG